UACAGAGGUCUCAAGCGUUGUUCGGAUUCAUUGGGCGUAAAGGGUGCGUAGGCGGCGCGGUAAGUCGGGUGUGAAAUCUCGGAGCUUAACUCCGAAACUGCAUUCGAUACUGCCGUGCUUGAGGACUGGAGAGGAGACUGGAAUUUACGGUGUAGCGGUGAAAUUCGUAGAUAUUCGGAAGAACACCAGUGGCGAAGGCGGCUCACUGGCCCGAUACUGACGCUGAGGCACGAAAGCGUGGGGAGCAAACAGG
rnacentral:rRNA from 1 species